rnacentral:lncRNA from 1 species
GACAGAUGGUGGGCAGGGAGGGUAGUGCUAUGACCUCAGCGCGGUGCCUGGGGAGCACUGAUAUGCAGCCUUUGCUAGCACUUGCCAGGAAAAGAAGUGACCUUGCUCUGCUGACUGGGACCUGGGGGCCUUGGGAUGAAAUGUUGGCAGCAAAGGACCUGUUUGCAGAGCUUCACUGUCCCUGCACCAGCAGAGGAACUGAUGCCUUCAGCUACCUCCAUCCAACAGGAAGCCACACAGCUCCUUCUCCCUGGCAUUUGGCAGAGAGCACUCGGCUGUCCUUCCAUGUGAGAAAACAAGUAAAGAUGGCAAGAAAAACGACAUAUGAAAUUAGUGAAAGAGGAAAUAUAUGACUAAAAUCCUGCACCAAGAUGUGAACCUACCUGCAGAUGGGAAGGCUGGUAAAUACAUUAAUUCCACCUUCAAAUUCAACCUUCUGGGGCACAAAACACAGUUCCUGACCCAUCCAAGGGUCUAAGAAGAGCUGAUUUAUUGACUGACAAAGGUGUCAUCCACAGACUUCCAUUAAUGGCUUCCAUUAGGUUCAACCUCAGGACCUCUUCAUCAUCUCCUGCUUAUUGUGCUUAGAAAGAGGUUUCACUGCUCAGAGGAUGUGGACAAAUCUAUUUAUGACCUCCUAGGAGGAACAUAAGGCCAGCUCUGGAGAGAUCUAAAGAUGUGUAGCUGUGAAGGGAAAUUUUCAAC